UACGGAGGAUCCGAGCGUUAUCCGGAAUUAUUGGGUUUAAAGGGUGCGUAGGCGGCCGAGUAAGUCAGCGGUGAAAUUUUGCAGCUUAACUGUAACAGUGCCGUUGAUACUGGGGAGCUAGGAUUUGGUUGCUGUGGGUGGAAUGUGUGGUGUAGCGGUGAAAUGCUUAGAUAUUACACAGAACACCGAUUGCGAAGGCAGCUUACUAAACUGUCACUGACGCUGAUGCACGAAAGCGUGGGGAGCAAACAGGAUUAGAUA
rnacentral:rRNA from 1 species